CUUUCAACUUCCUGCCUUGUGAGCCCCCGGAGGAGAAGUUGAUUGGUGAGCCAAGCCCUCGACUCGGGCGUGUGCUGUUAGUAUCUCAGCCUGCGUUUCCUUGAUGGCAGUGGGAAUCCAACAGGGAAAGAAACUUCCCCGCUGAGGCAGGGAGCUUCGGUUGGGCUGGGACCUAAGGGGAGGCGUCCAUACGACCAAUUCGGGAAGGCCGCCUCUCACCGUGGCCGCUCGGCCCUCCUGUCGUCCUUCUGGCUGGUGGAGCUGAAGCCGGUCCUCCAGGCGCGCAUGCGCAGGCGACCAGGCCGCGAGGCCUGGCUGCGCCUCGGGCACGGUUGCUAAGCGACUUGUCUCUGAGGGGUGGGCGAGACGUUGGCUGGCUGGCUGGCUGGCGGGCGCAGGCGCGGGCCGUGUCCGGUGCUCUAGGAAGGGCCUGGGGCCUAGGUCUUCCAGUGGUCCAGCAGAUCGAUAGACGGAAGGAAGGGUGGGCGGAUCCACGGCUCGAUGGAAGAUCCGGAUUUGGGUCCACUUGGCGUCUCGCCACCAGUUCCAGCCAUCAGUGUGGGGGCAGUGGUUCGAAGAUGUCGACACAGACUCUGAGAUCCGGGACGUCAGUAACGUGAGGAGAGGAAGGCUGGCGCACCCUCCGUACUUCCCGCCAUCUCCCUCUGUUCUCUCUCUCCUUUCCCGUCCCUACCCAGCUCACUCACCGGAGUUGAAGCCAGACCUCCAACUGCAAAAGCGUGCAUUGUCCAGAAAUAAAGACGUCCUUUUUCAAGAUACAAAUAAAAUGCCUCCCUUACCUGGACACCAGUGCCACUA